rnacentral:rRNA from 1 species
GACGAACGCUGGCGGCGUGCUUAACACAUGCAAGUCGAACGAUGAAGCCGGAGCUUGCUCCGGUGGAUUAGUGGCGAACGGGUGAGAAACACGUGAGACAUCUGCCCUUGACUCUGGGAUAACUGCGGGAAACUGUAGCUAAUACCGGAUACGACACCUUGGGGCAUCCCAGGGUGUGGAAAGAAUUUCGGUCAAGGAUGAGCUCGCGGCCUAUCAGCUAGGUGGUGGGGUCAUGGCUCACCAAGGCGACGACGGGUAGCCGGCCUGAGAGGGUGACCAGCCACACUGGAACUGAGACACGGUCCAGACUCCUACGGGAGGCAGCAGUGGGGAAUAUUGCACAAUGGGCGAAAGCCUGAUGCAGCAACGCCGCGUGAGGGAUGAAGGCCUUCGGGUUGUAAACCUCUUUUAGCAGGGAAGAAGCGAAAGUGACGGUACCUGCAGAAAAAGCACCGGCUAACUACGUGCCAGCCGCCGCCGUAA